rnacentral:rRNA from 1 species
AGUGAACGCUGGCGGUAGGCCUAACACAUGCAAGUCGAACGGCAGCACAGUAAGAGCUUGCUCUUACGGGUGGCGAGUGGCGGACGGGUGAGGAAUACAUCGGAAUCUACUUUUUCGUGGGGGAUAACGUAGGGAAACUUACGCUAAUACCGCAUACGACCUACGGGUGAAAGCAGGGGAUCUUCGGACCUUGCGCGAUUGAAUGAGCCGAUGUCGGAUUAGCUAGUUGGCGGGGUAAAGGCCCACCAAGGCGACGAUCCGUAGCUGGUCUGAGAGGAUGAUCAGCCACACUGGAACUGAGACACGGUCCAGACUCCUACGGGAGGCAGCAGUCGGGAAUAUUGGACAAUGGGCGCAAGCCUGAUCCAGCCAUACCGCGUGAGUGAAGAAGGCCCUCGGGUUGUAAAGCCCUUUUGUUGGGAAAGAAAAGCAGCAGGUUAAUACCCCGCUGUUCUGACGGUACCCAAAGAAUAAGCACCGGCUAACUUCGUG